rnacentral:rRNA from 1 species
UAAUGUCUGGGAAACUGCCUGAUGGAGGGGGAUAACUACUGAAAACGGUAGCUAAUACCGCAUAACGUCGCAAGACCAAAGUGGGGGACCUUCGGGCCUCAUGCCAUCAGAUGUGCCCAGAUGGGAUUAGCUAGUAGGUGGGGUAAUGGCUCACCUAGGCGACGAUCCCUAGCUGGUCUGAGAGGAUGACCAGCCACACUGGAACUGAGACACGGUCCAG